CUCGCAUUGUCAGCUGGAAUACCACUCUAAUGCACUGUUGAACAUGCUUAAUGCACAUAAGUUAGACAUCAUGCCCUAAACCUUCACUUCCACAUCAGAUAGUGAAGGUUCGUCCAAAUGUUCUUCAAAAGCAGCAUCAAUAUCAACGAACUAAAACAAAGAGGGGUUCAGGCAGAGCAGAGAUUACAAGGUAACAAUAGACAGCAAAAAGACUAUCCGAAAAAUGUUCUGAAA
rnacentral:lncRNA from 1 species